rnacentral:rRNA from 1 species
UACAGAGGUCUCAAGCGUUGUUCGGAUUCAUUGGGCGUAAAGGGUGCGUAGGUGGCGCUGUAAGUCGGGUGUGAAAUUUCGGAGCUUAACUCCGAAACUGCAUUCGAUACUGCGGUGCUUGAGGACUGGAGAGGAGACUGGAAUUCAUGGUGUAGCAGUGAAAUGCGUAGAGAUCAUGAGGAAGACCAGUGGCGAAGGCAGCCCCCUGGGUCAAGAUUGACGCUCAUGCACGAAAGCGUGGGGAGCAAACAGG